ACUAUGCUUGGCCCUAAACCUCAGUAGUUAAACAACAAAACUACUCGCCAGAACACUACGAGCAACGGCUUAAAACUCAAAGGACUUGACGGUGCUUUAUAUCCCCCUAGAGGAGCCUGUUCCAUAAUCGAUAAACCCCGAUCCACCUCACCCUCUCUUGCUUAGCCUAUAUACCGCCAUCUUCAGCAAACCCUGAUAAAGGUUACAAAGUGAGCACAAACGCCCUACCGCCGCAAAAACGUUAGGUCAAGGUGUAGCCCAUGAGAGGGUAAAAAUGGGCUACAUUUUCUACACCAGAAAACCCCACGAAAACUCUUAUGAAACCUGAGAGUCUAAGGAGGAUUUAGCAGUAAAUUAAGAAUAGAGUGCUCAAUUGAACCAGGCCAUAAAGCGCGUACACACCGCCCGUCACUCCCCUCAAAUAUAUUUAAAGGACAUCUUAACUAAACGCCCUAAUAUUUAUAUAGAGGGGAUAAGUCGUAACAUGGUAAGUGUACUGGAAGGUGCACUUGGAUAAAC
rnacentral:rRNA from 1 species